rnacentral:rRNA from 1 species
UACGAAGGGGGCAAGCGUUGCUCGGAAUCACUGGGCGUAAAGGGCGUGUAGGCGGUUUCGUAUGUCUGGCGUGAAAGCCCCGGGCUCAACCCGGGAAGUGCGUUGGAAACUGCGAAACUAGAGUCUCGGAGAGGAAGGUGGAAUUCCAGGUGUAGCGGUGAAAUGCGUAGAUAUCUGGAAGAACACCAGUGGCGAAGGCGACUGCCUGGCCUGUUCUUGACGCUGAGGCGCGAAAGCUGGGGGAGCAAACGGG